rnacentral:misc_RNA from 1 species
AAACAUGCCUAAUCAAAUUUCCCAGCUAACGGACUUGUAUUGAUUCAGAUAUCUUUUUGCAAAAUGAGCCUAGAUGGAAUAACAAAGUCUUGAACUGCUCAACUUCUUUUUGCAAGAUCUAUAAACUGAACAGAUAAUUACAAAAAUAAGCCUAGUUAAACAAAAACAUCUUUCCCUAAUCCUCCAAUUUGAUUCAAAAUAGACAAAUAUAUAUAUAUGUAUGUGUGUG